GGGGAUGACAGGCCUCGACAAACAGGUUCCGUCCUCUCGCGCGAUGGGAGCACCGUUAACUCCUAAAUCUGACGGACACGACAACUGCAAACUCGGUUGCCAAGGGUAGGGUUGUUUCGCCGUAUUUUUCGGCGAACUCCUUUGCUUUCGCGCUCGCUUAAUCUUUAGGCCAGCUCGGCGCUUUCUCACUCUCGGCCGCACAGUGAUGAAAGUGAUAUAACCGCGGUCUCUAGAUCAGUUCCCUUCCCGGCUCUGAUCCAAACGUUUCGGGAAUCGUACUCUGCACAUUUCGUUCGCUUUACGAGUGCAAGGUAUUAAAGGCUUUCGCCUCAAAGCGACCUAUCAUCGUAGAAGCGUCCGGACAGCCCGGUUGCACCUGGGUUCAACUCCCAGCAUCUCCACUG
rnacentral:tmRNA from 1 species